UUUUAGAUUGAGACACUUAGUUUAAAAGCUUAUUUGAUUGAAGGAUGUUAUCAACUUAUUCUAAAAGACUUAACAGAUUGCGAGAAAUGCCAAAGAAGGCAAAGAAUAUUUUUUGGUGGCCAUUCACCCAGCAUAAACUUGUGGCAGAUGAAGCUAUUACAGUAAUUGAUUCUCGCUGUGGUGAGACUUCACUGUUUUCAAGGUGUUUUCAGACUAAGCUAGCAAGUGAUAUGGGUUAUGCUGUUGAAAGAUUUGGGCAUGUGAUGUUUCAAGAGAAUGUGUAUGAACCAGCUUAGGAAUGUGCAGAGCUUUUGCUUGUUGGUGUUGGAAAAGAUGAAUUGAGCAUAAUUAGAAGUACAUUGACAUUUGUGUUGAUUGUACGUCUUAUGAUGUCUUUGAUUGGAUCUCUUCUCAGCAUACUUGUGG